rnacentral:lncRNA from 1 species
GUCUUUGGCCCAUUCCAAGGCCAUGCCGGAGAGGUGGCACAUGACGUAGCCCACGCGCAGCCGGUCGCUGUAGUACAUUCCCGGGUAGCUUUGUAGGAUCAGCUGGCAGAGCACGAUGAACUCGUGGUACUCGCGGCGGUCGCCCGAGAACGUGGCCGGGAUGGGCAUUCGGCCUUCGUGGAGCCCCUUCGCCAGGACGGCCUCCGCCACCCUCUGCUGCUCUAUGAGGUCUUGCAUCCGGAGGUACAGAGAGAUGAGCGACCUCACCUGGGCCAUGAUCUCUGCCAUCUCCGACCCGGCCUGCUCCUCGGGACUCUUCUGCUCGUCCGACCCCGCCUGGCAUCACGCUGGACCUUCAAGACAAAGACACGGAGCCAGCGCUUCCCUGUGGAAUAUCCCUGGGGCGAUGAGGCCCACACCCCUCAGUCCUGUGCUGGAGGUGAACUUGGGGUCGGGAGUGGGGGGCAGGGCUACCCCUGGCGAGCAUCUCCUUCGAGGGUCCCCGGGGCUCGGCUGCCUGUGCCUUUGCCAGGACGUUGCAGGUGCCCCGUGCUCCUGGGUCCUGCUCUGGACAACGGCCUGUCAGCUUUCCUUCUGACUCCCGUUCUCCACGGGUCCACCUGCCGCAGCCCCGUGCAGCCCAGAGGCCACCCCUGCCUCUUCUCUGGGCUCUCCGGACGUGUAAACCUCAGACCUACCAGCGCAGCUGGAGACAUGGUGCGGUCUCCAGCCUCCGGAACAUAUCUUGAAGAGAUAGCUGUUGAUUGGGAAAUUCUUCCCUAACCAAAAAACCCAAGCCCAAACCAGAAAACCACAACUAACCCAAAUCCAGGAUUUAGUGCCCCUAGUCUGGGGUCUUUGCGGUGGGCCCUCUCCCCGACAGCCAUAGACACACAACCUCACCACCUUCGGUGCCCCGAGGCUUCCCGGUCGGUCGGGUCAGUUCCUUGCUUUGCCUCUGAGCAAGUGGCCCAUUGGGUUGGGGCUGCCAACGUGCGUCUAUGAAGGGUUGAGUGUUGGGGGGGCAGGGGGGCCCCUUCCUCGGCGAAUACCUCUCCCCGUCAGCUCACUUGUACAGUAAAGGAAAUCUGAUUUUAAAAAUAGAGCUUGGAAGAGGAGAUGAGAGGAUAUUUAGGAGCAGAGCUGAGCCUGGGGCGGGGGGUGGGGGUGGAGGGAUUAGGGAAGA